rnacentral:rRNA from 1 species
GUGGGGAAUCUUCCGCAAUGGACGAAAGUCUGACGGAGCAACGCCGCGUGAGUGAAGAAGGUUUUCGGAUCGUAAAGCUCUUUCGUUAGGGACGAACGUGCUCUUUGUGAAUAAUGAGGAGUAAUGACGGUACCUAAAUAAGAAGCCACGGCUAACUACGUGCCAGCAGCCGCGGUAAUACGUAGGUGGCAAGCGUUGUCCGGAAUUAUUGGGCGUAAAGCGCGCGCAGGCGGGAUAUCAAGUCUGUCUUAAAAGUGCGAGGCUCAACCUCGUGAGGGGACAGAAACUGGUAUUCUUGAGUGUCGGAGAGGAAAGUGGAAUUCCAAGUGUAGCGGUGAAAUGCGUAGAGAUUUGGAAGAACACCAGUGGCGAAGGCGACUUUCUGGACGAUGUCUGACGCUGAGGCGCGAAAGCUAGGAGAGCGAACGGGAUUAGAAACCCUAGUAGUCC